GAUGAACGCUGGCGGUAUGCCUAACACAUGCAAGUCGAACGGAGUUCCUUCGGGGACUUAGUGGCGGACGGGUGAGUAACACGUGAGAACCUACCUUCAGAAUGGGGACAACAGUUGGAAACGACUGCUAAUACCCGAUGUGCCGAGAGGUGAAAGAUUUAUCGUCUGAAGAUGGGCUCGCGGCUGAUUAGCUAGUUGGUAGUGUAAGGGACUACCAAGGCGACGAUCAGUAGCUGGUCUGAGAGGAUGAGCAGCCACACUGGAACUGAGAAACGGUCCAGACUCCUACGGGAGGCAGCAGUGGGGAAUUUGCCGCAAUGGGCGAAAGCCUGACGGAGCAAUACCGCGUGUGGGAGGAAGGCCCUUGGGUUGUAAACCACUUUUAUCAGGGAAGAAGAUCUGACGGUACCUGAUGAAUAAGCAUCGGCUAACUCCGUGCCAGCAGCCGC
rnacentral:rRNA from 1 species